rnacentral:lncRNA from 1 species
CCUUAUUCAUCUGGUGCGCGUGAAGGAGAGGGGGUGCAGGGACUUAAUUACAAAUGUUGUAAUUUUUUUGAGGCUGAUUAAAUUAUGAAUUAAAUUUUAAUUAAUUUAAAUUUAAUUUAAUUUAAUUUAAUUUAAUAUUAAUUAAAUUUAAUUAUCCAAAUCAGAUUUAGAUUUCAGACCUGAUUGGAUCAGGCUUAACAGCCUUUUCAAAUUCA